UACGAAGGGGGCUAGCGUUGUUCGGAAUUACUGGGCGUAAAGCGCACGUAGGCGGACUUGUAAGUCAGGGGUGAAAUCCCGGGGCUCAACCCCGGAACUGCCUUUGAAACUCCCAGUCUUGAGGUCGAGAGAGGUGAGUGGAAUUCCGAGUGUAGAGGUGAAAUUCGUAGAUAUUCGGAGGAACACCAGUGGCGAAGGCGGCUCACUGGCUCGAUACUGACGCUGAGGUGCGAAAGCGUGGGGAACAAACAGG
rnacentral:rRNA from 1 species